AUGAUAUUUGUUCUAGAUUUAUUGUUAUAUAUUGAUAUAUUGCAUUUUUUUUUUUUUUAAAAAAUAGAAUUGGCUGAAGCGAAGUUGCUGCCAUGCUCUGAAAAUUUAGGCAGAAGAAUAUAUGAAGUUAAACAGAUUUUAGCUACUUGUAGCUUUUCAUUGCUGCCUUCAUUACAACUCACCCUUCUGCUCUACACUCAUUUUGUCUCCAACACAGGUAAGCAAGAACAUUUUAGACUUGAGCAGAGACUGAAUAAGAAUUAACAGAUUUUAGGAGCAAUUAAUUGUGUCUGUUUCAUACAUAUACUUCCCCAUUAGCAACUAAAGAUGAACCCACCCAUAAUUUCCUCUCUCUUGCUAAGUAUUAAUCGUGACAUUUCUUGCGGCGUCCUAUUGGCUGUUUUCCUCCAAUUGCUAUAAAAAAAGAUGGCGAAAACAAUUCUGUCUAUGUUGUCUAGAUAAAACAAUACGGGCAAUGGUGAUUGCGAUGAGUAGAGUGAUGAUUUAUUUAUACACUGCACUAUUGAGAAAGAAAAAAGAGGGUGCAGGACUGGUCUGUGUGGCAGGAUUUGUUCAAGCAUUGUGGGUGCUCGCAUUUUCUGAAAUCCCAGUCAGUUAUCUGAAUCUUCGCUAUAGAAAAAUUUUAUUCCUGUUUGGAUCAGUUGGUCUUGUUUUAGUGAACUCUGCUGCACUGAUGACAGAAGAGAUAGUGAAAGCAGUUAAUGGUGAACGUCUGGUGGGAGAUUUGAGAAUUGUUGUCUUUCCAUCUGAAUGGAUCUUUACCGUACCAUUGCUGAUUUUAUCCAUAAUUACACCCAGAAAACCUAUCAACACAGAGUCCCAAUCACUAGAUUGUAAAGGGACUCCUGCUACAGAGUAUACCAGUAUAGACAUGAACCAGAGGAAAGGAGAAUCCAUUGAAAUGGAAACUCUGGGAGAAGUAGCUGGCAACUGUGAAGAGCAAGAGGAGGAGAUCAACUCAUAGCACAAGGUUCAGAAACCCCAGUGGUGCCUCUGAGUAUAAAUAUUGUGAGUAGUGUAUUCACACUGAAAAUUCCAAAAAGGAAUUCAAAAUACAUGGAUGGUGCACUUGGUGUGGAAUGUUGGACACUUCAUGCAUCAAACAUAGCUUACAAACAAACAAAUGAGAUUGUAUACUUUUCAUUCAUGUUUAAGUGACCCUUUGCAAAGACCCUCGGCCAUAUUCCACUUUGCACUUAUAUCUAAAGUCUUUGUUGACAACUGAACACUACAAACGCCGAUCAUCGCUGAAGGUGGAAAUAUGAGUUGCGUAUUUUACCUUCUAAUGCAGUGGUUCCCAACCUUUUUUUUCAGGAGAGCCCUAUUUUAACAUUCAAAAUCCUUCCAAAUUCAAAAAAAUCAGCUGUUAAGUUUUUAAUGAAUGCAACGACAGCUCGAACAUUAAAAUAAUAGCAUUAACAACUACGGCCAGAUUUGACUUGCAACAUGAUGUUAUAAAGUACUGACUAAAAUGUUUUAUAAAAUAAUAAACCUAAUAUUCCUUUAAACCAUUUUUUAAGAAACAGGAUGAGUCAAAAUGAUUAUUUAAUCAGCUCAAUUAAUAAUUCUACAUACCUUAUUAUCCAAAUUGUUUAGAAUUGUUUUAGAAUGUACAUCAGCUUAUUUUAACUUCUUAAAAUGUACAACAUAGAAAUGUUUUCCGAGUUUCACAAACUAAAACCGCAGACAGGCUGAAUGAAAAUUUAAAUCCAUUCUCUGUCAGUCGGUGGUGCUUUUGGAACAGCAAAAAUACAAAGACUAUAGAAUAACACAAGACGCGUCACUCGUAUUGUUUUGAGUGGGAGAAAGUGUAACGCACAAUAUGGCGGAAUAAGUCCCGCCUUCUAAAUAAGAGCUGAUUGCUGAAGCCAUUGCGUUACUGCAGCGGACAUUAGAAGCUCCGGUUCCUAUAGAAACAAACAGACGCGCACUUAGGACUGCACAUGCGCAUUAGCUUAAUCCAGCCUGAAUUUUUUUUUUUUUUUUUUGCCAUGAUUCAAGCGUUAAGAAACAAAAUUUAUGAGACAGUUGUCGUCAGAUUUCAUUAGUGAUUUCAAAUAUGAAAUUUAAUCGAAAGCUUGGCAAACAGCUUUGGAGAAUUUGAUGUUUCCCCAUUCAAAGAGAUAGAAGCUGCACUUGCAUGCCUGAGAGGCAUUUCAAAGAUGGCCGUCGAGUGAAAUGACUUAAAGGGACUUUGAGAAAUAGAGCUGUUUCCCCGGUAACCCCAUAAACAAAGCAGAGAUGACAAUGAAAAGAAAGGCACGAUGAGAAGAAAAAGCCAUCAAAACUUUUCUCAAGGCAGUCAGUUCCCUUCAGAGAUACAUUCAGAAUUCAUUCAUACUUUAAUUCAUAUAAUUUACCUCAGAACUCGGAUGUAAAACCUCUCACUUCUUUCCGCCAUAUUUUCAAAUGAAACCUACACUGCAUGUUCUGUCUGCAUGAGACUGUUGCUUACUUUGCUUAAUACUGGACGGUAUUUACCAUGAGUUUUUCAAAUCCUGACAAUCAAAUACGAUUUUAAUGAUAAUUAAAAUAUUAAACUGUAAUACUAAGCGUCAGAAAAAAUUGCAUCGUGGUUUAUCAUCAAACUGGUAACCGUUUCUUCACUAACCCUCAAACUACAGUGAGCUUGGUGACACCUCGUAAAUCUUUAGCGACAACAAGUGGGAGUCGCGACCCCCAGGUUGGGAAAUACUACUGUUCUUACGCAUGGCUACUUUGAGUCUAUGCGGUGAGAAAGAGCUCAAUUCACUAUAUCUGCACACUUGACAAGCAGCUGCUUGUUUCUUUCAAUUCUGUGAAGAGCACUCUCAUCUGGCAGUACACGCGUGAACAGUCAAAUAUUCCUCAAAAUUAGGUGGAAAUGCUUGACUUGACAAGUAGCCUAUGAAUGUAAAAAAUUGUUUAUGUCCCAAGUCAAUGUAAUCCUGAAGAAAAAAUCUACUUUUGUUCUUCAAAUGUGCAUAAGUUAGGACUUGUAAUGUAACUAUACCGGUGUUUUUAGUAACUAUUUAAUUAUCAUCAAGUAGUGUUAUUUUAAUAAUUCAUUGUUGUUUUGCUUUAUCUCAUAUAUAAUGAGUUAUUUUGUUUGAAAAAUGUUUCUUUGUUAUUAUUGCUGAUUUUUCUCUAAAAAUUGUUGGAGCACUUGCGACAGUAUUUACAGUAUUUACUUUUUUUGUGGUACCAAAAUGAGUAUUGAAAAUUAUGGAAUGUCGCUGUUACUCUAUUUCAAAGGUUCUUGGCAAAAAUAAGCUGAAUGAAAAUGACAUUAUGGUCUUCUGUUGUUUGUGUUCAUUGAUAUUUUUACUGUGAAACAUGUUCUAUGUUUUCAUUCUUUGUGAGAUGUUAUUCAUAAACAUUGGUUUCUGCUAUAAUAGAUGAUGUUACUGUAAAUCUAGAUGAUAUUCUACUGCUUUCUUCUGAUACAUUUGUGUAUGAAG